CCCUUAGAUGUUCUGGGCCGCACGCGCGCUACACUGAUGCGUUCAACGAGUUUCUUCCUGGUCCGAGAGGAAUGGGUAACCUUUUGAAAGUGCAUCGUGAUAGGGAUAGACUAUUGCAAUUAUUGGUCUUCAACGAGGAAUUCCUAGUAGACGUAGUUCAUCAGACUGCAUCGAUUACGUCCCUGCCCUUUGUACACACCGCCCGUCGCUCCUACCGAUUGAAUGCUCAGGUGAGCCAUUCGGACCUUCAUCAUGCCGGUUUCCGGUUUUGAUGAGGGAAAGUCUUGCGAACCUUAUCAUUUAGAGGAAGGAGAAGUCGUAACA
rnacentral:rRNA from 1 species